GAUCCUGACUCAGAUUGAACGCUGGCGGCAGGCCUAACACAUGCAAGUCGAACGGUAACAGGAAACAGCUUGCUGUUUCGCUGACGAGUGGCGGACGGGUGAGUAAUGUCUGGGAAACUGCCUGAUGGAGGGGGAUAACUACUGGAAACGGUAGCUAAUACCGCAUAACGUCGCAAGACCAAAGAGGGGGACCUUCGGGCCUCUUGCCAUCAGAUGUGCCCAGAUGGGAUUAGCUAGUAGGG
rnacentral:rRNA from 1 species